rnacentral:ncRNA from 1 species
CGCGCGUCUGUGGUUGAAAGUCGAUGCCAGUCGCAGGCGAAACGAUCCACGUAACCCGGGAAAAUUCCGGUGAGCAUGGUGCGGCUUAGAUGUAAGUCCUGCCCGUCCACGGGCGGAGAGCUGUAGUAGUGGGGAGGCCAUUGCCUUAGGAGCGAACCAGCCGGCAGGCGAGUGUGGGGUCAAAGACCAGGUCAGGCGC